GAUGAACGCUGGCGGCGUGCCUAAUACAUGCAAGUCGAGCGAACAGACGAGGAGCUUGCUCCUCUGACGUUAGCGGCGGACGGGUGAGUAACACGUGGAUAACCUACCUAUAAGACUGGGAUAACUUCGGGAAACCGGAGCUAAUACCGGAUAAUAUAUUGAACCGCAUGGUUCAAUAGUGAAAGACGGUUUUGCUGUCACUUAUAGAUGGAUCCGCGCCGCAUUAGCUAGUUGGUAAGGUAACGGCUUACCAAGGCAACGAUGCGUAGCCGACCUGAGAGGGUGAUCGGCCACCCUGGAACUGAGACACGGUCCAGACUCCUACGGGAGGCAGCAGUAGGGAAUCUUCCGCAAUGGGCGAAAGCGUGACGGAGCAACGCCGCGUGAGUGAUGAAGGUCUUCGGAUCGUAAAACUCUGUUAUUAGGGAAGAACAAAUGUGUAAGUAACUAUGAACGUCUUGACGGUACCUAAUCAGAAAGCCACGGCUAACUACGUG
rnacentral:rRNA from 1 species